AUCCUGGCUCAGAACGAACGCUGGCGGCGCGCCUAAUACAUGCAAGUCGAGCGAGAAGACGUAGCAAUACGUUUGUAAAGCGGCGAACGGGUGAGGAAUACAUGGGUAACCUACCCUCGAGUGGGGAAUAACUAGCCGAAAGGUUAGCUAAUACCGCAUACGAUUCCCGGACUGCGGUUCGGGAAGGAAAGCGAUACCGUGGGUAUCGCGCUCCUGGAUGGGCUCAUGUCCUAUCAGCUUGUUGGUGAGGUAACGGCUCACCAAGGCUUCGACGGGUAGCUGGUCUGAGAGGACGAUCAGCCACACUGGCACUGCGACACGGGCCAGACUCCUACGGGAGGCAGCAGUAAGGAAUAUUGCGCAAUGGGCGACAGCCUGACGCAGCGACGCCGCGUGGGGGAUGAAGGUCUUCGGAUUGUAAACCCCUUUCGGGAGGGAAGAUGGAAUGGGUAACCAUUCGGACGGUACCUCCAGAAGCAGCCACGGCUAACUUCGUGCCAGCAGCCGCGGUAAUACGAAGGUGGCAAGCGUUGUUCGGAUUCACUGGGCGUACAGGGAGCGUAGGCGGUUGGGUAAGCCCUCCGUGAAAUCUCCGGGCCUAACCCGGAAAGUGCAGAGGGGACUGCUUGGCUUGAGGACGGGAGAGGAGCGCGGAAUUCCCG
rnacentral:rRNA from 1 species